GCAUGGUCUUAGCUUGCUAAGGCCGAUGGCGACCGGCGCACGGGUGAGUAACACGUAUCCAACCUGCCGUCUACUCUUGGACAGCCUUCUGAAAGGAAGAUUAAUACAAGAUGGCAUCAUGAGUCCGCAUGUUCACAUGAUUAAAGGUAUUCCGGUAGACGAUGGGGAUGCGUUCCAUUAGAUAGUAGGCGGGGUAACGGCCCACCUAGUCUUCGAUGGAUAGGGGUUCUGAGAGGAAGGUCCCCCACAUUGGAACUGAGACACGGUCCAAACUCCUACGGGAGGCAGCAGUGAGGAAUAUUGGUCAAUGGGCGAGAGCCUGAACCAGCCAAGUAGCGUGAAGGAUGACCGCCCUAUGGGUUGUAAACUUCUUUUAUAAAGGAAUAAAGUCGGGUAUGGAUACCCGUUUGCAUGUACUUUAUGAAUAAGGAUCGGCUAACUCCGUGCCAGCAGCCGCGGUAAUACGGAGGAUCCGAGCGUUAUCCGGAUUUAUUGGGUUUAAAGGGAGUGUAGAUGGAUAUUUAAGUCAGUUGUGAAAGUUUGCGGCUCAACCGUAAAAUUGCAGUUGAUACUGGAUAUCUUGAGUGCAGUUGAGGCAGGCGGAAUUCGUGGUGUAGCGGUGAAAUGCUUAGAUAUCACGAAGAACUCCGAUUGCCAAGGCAGCCUGCUAAGCUGCAACUGACAUUGAGGCUCGAAAGUGUGGGUAUCAAA
rnacentral:rRNA from 1 species